rnacentral:rRNA from 1 species
GACAGAGGUGCCAAGCGUUAGGCGGAAUCACUGGGCUUAAAGCGUGUGUAGGCGGAAUUGUAAGUACCUUGUGAAAUCCCACGGCUCAACCGUGGAACUGCUCGGUAUACUGCUCUUCUUGAGCCACUUAGGGGCUGUCGGAACAAACGGUGGAGCGGUGAAAUGCGUAGAGAUCGGCAGGAACACCCAGGGGGAAACCAGCCGACUGGGCAAGUGCUGACGCUGAGGUGCGAGAGCGUGGGGAGCGAACCGG